CGCUAUCCGCCCGGGAACUACGAGCAUUAGCUUAAAACCCAAAGACUUGGCGGUCUUAAGAUCCACCUAGAGGAGCCUGUUCUAGAACCGAUGACCCCCGUUCAACCUCACCCUCCCUUGUUUAUCCCGCCUAUAUACCGCCGUCGUCAGCUUACCCUGUGAAGGCCCAAUAGUGAGCAAAACUGGCACAGCCCAAAACGUCAGGUCGAGGUGUAGCGUAUGGGAGGGGAAGAAAUGGGCUACAUUCACUGUCCCAGUGAAUACGAAUAGUACACUGAAAUAUGUACUUGAAGGAGGAUUUAGCAGUAAGCAGAAAGCAGAGGUUCCGCUGAAACCGGCUCUAAAGCGCGCACAC
rnacentral:rRNA from 1 species